rnacentral:rRNA from 1 species
UACGUAGGGCGCAAGCGUUGUCCGGAAUUAUUGGGCGUAAAGAGCUCGUAGGCGGCUUGUCGCGUCGGUUUUGAAAGCCCGGGGCUUAACCCCGGGUCUGCAGUCGAUACGGGCAGGCUAGAGUGUGGUAGGGGAGAUCGGAAUUCCUGGUGUAGCGGUGAAAUGCGCAGAUAUCAGGAGGAACACCGGUGGCGAAGGCGGAUCUCUGGGCCAUUACUGACGCUGAGGAGCGAAAGCGUGGGGAGCGAACAGG